rnacentral:rRNA from 1 species
GAUGAACGCUGGCGGCGUGCCUAAUACAUGCAAGUCGAGCGAACGGACGAGAAGCUUGCUUCUCUGAUGUUAGCGGCGGACGGGUGAGUAACACGUGGAUAACCUACCUAUAAGACUGGGAUAACUUCGGGAAACCGGAGCUAAUACCGGAUAAUAUUUUGAACCGCAUGGUUCAAAAGUGAAAGACGGUCUUGCUGUCACUUAUAGAUGGAUCCGCGCUGCAUUAGCUAGUUGGUAAGGUAACGGCUUACCAAGGCAACGAUGCAUAGCCGACCUGAGAGAGGGGUAGCCGACACGGGAACUGAGACACGGUCCAGACGCCUACGGGAGGCAGCAGUAGGGAAUCUUCCGCAAUGGGCGGAAGCCUGACGGAGCAACGCCGAGUGAGUGAUGAAGGUCUUCGGAUCGUAAAACUCUGUUAUUAGGGAAGAACAUAUGUGUAAGUAACUGUGCACAUCUUGACGGUACCUAAUCAGAAAGCCACGGCUAACUACGUG